rnacentral:rRNA from 1 species
GGACAUAACAUAAAAGUGGAGGCUAUUGUAACUGAAGAGAACUGGAAAGUUCCACCGUAGAAGGUAAUAGUCCUGUAAGUGAAACGAGAAGACCACGAGUUAUGAUCCAGAGUACCACGAGACACGUGAAACCUUGUGGGAAGCAGGGAGGACCACCUCCCAAGGCUAAAUACUACCUGAUGACCGAUAGUGAAGCAGUACCGUGAGGGAAAGGUGAAAAGAACCCCGGGAGGGGAGUGAAAUAGAACCUGAAACCGUGUGCCUACAACCGCUCAGAGCCCCUUAUGAGGGUGAUGAGGUGCUUUUUGUAGAACGAGCCAACGAGUUACGGUAUGUAGCAAGGUUAAGUACUUAAGGUACGGAGCCGAAGGGAAACCGAGUCUGAAUAGGGCGACUAGUUGCAUGCCGUAGACCCGAAACCGGGUGACCUAUCCAUGGCCAGGUUGAAGCGAGGGUAAAACCUCGUGGAGGACCGAACCACGUUGCUGUUGAAAAAGCAUGGGAUGAGCUGUGGAUAGCGGAGAAAUUCCAAUCGAACCCGGAGAUAGCUGGUUCUCUCCGAAAUAGCUUUAGGGCUAGCGUCGAGUAUGAGUAGUGGAGGUAGAGCACUGAAUGGGCUAGGGGGCAUAGCGCUUACCGAACCUUAUCAAACUCCGAAUGCCACAUACUUUGAGCUCGGCAGUCAGACUACGAAUGAUAAGAUCCGUGGUCAAAAGGGAAACAGCCCAGAUCGUCAGCUAAGGUCCCAAAGUGUAAGUUAAGUGGGAAAGGAUGUGAGAUUUCUAAGACAACUAGGAUGUUGGCUUAGAAGCAGCCAUUCAUUAAAAGAGUGCGUAAUAGCUCACUAGUCGAGAGAUCUUGCGCCGAAAAUGUAACGGGGCUAAACUUACCACCGAAGCUACGGGCUUGAACUUAGUUCAAGCGGUAGGAGAGCGUCGUAACCGGGCUGAAGUCGUACCGUAAGGAGCGGUGGACUGGUUACGAGUGAGAAUGUUGGCAUCAGUAGCGAGAUGUGGGUGAGAAUCCCACAGGCCGAAAACCUAAGGUUUCCUCAGGAAGGUUCGUCCGCUGAGGGUUAGUCGGGACCUAAGCCGAGGCCGAAAGGCGUAGGUGAUGGACAACUGGUUGAUAUUCCAGUACCACUACCAUCGUUAUUAUCGAUGGCGUGACGCAGGAGGAUAGUGUGUGCUAGCUAUUGGAUGCUAGUCUAAGCGUUUAGGCAGUGAGAGUAGGCAAAUCCGCUCUCAUAAUGCUGAGGCGUGAUGGGGAAGGUUCUACGGAACCGAAGUACAUGAUUCCACGCUGCCAAGAAAAGCGUCUAGAGAGAGAAGUAGUGCCCGUACCGCAAACCGACACAGGUAGGUGAGGAGAGAAUCCUAAGGCCGGCGGAAGAAUUACAGUUAAGGAACUCGGCAAAUUGACCCCGUAAGUUCGCGAGAAGGGGUGCCUACGAGAGUAGGCCGCAGAGAAUAGGCCCAAGCAACUGUUUAGCAAAAACACAGGUCUCUGCUAAAGCGUAAGCUGAUGUAUAGGGGCUGACGCCUGCCCGGUGCUGGAAGGUUAAGGGGAACACUUAGCGCAAGCGAAGGUGUGAACUUAAGCCCCAGUAAACGGCGGCCGUAACUAUAACGGUCCUAAGGUAGCGAAAUUCCUUGUCAGGUAAGUUCUGACCCGCACGAAUGGCGUAAUGACUUGGGCACUGUCUCAACUGUAAAUCCGGCGAAGUUGUAGUGCGAGUGAAGAUGCUCGCUACCCGCGAUUGGACGGAAAGACCCCGUAGAGCUUUACUGUAGCUUAGCAUUGAGUUUUGGUAUUGUCUGUACAGGAUAGGUGGGAGACUAGGAAACCAGGGCGUCAGCCUUGGUGGAGUCAACCUUGGGAUACCACCCUGACAGUACUGAAAUUCUAACUGGCGGCCAUGAAUCUGGUCACAGGACAUUGUUAGGUGGGCAGUUUGACUGGGGCGGUCGCCUCCUAAAAAGUAACGGAGGCGCCCAAAGGUUCCCUCAGAACGGUCGGAAAUCGUUCGAAGAGUGCAAAGGCAGAAGGGAGCCUGACUGCGACACCCACAAGUGGAGCAGGGACGAAAGUCGGGCUUAGUGAUCCGGUGGUACCUCGUGGGAGGGCCAUCGCUCAACGGAUAAAAGCUACCUCGGGGAUAACAGGCUGAUCUCCCCCAAGAGUCCACAUCGACGGGGAGGUUUGGCACCUCGAUGUCGGCUCGUCGCAUCCUGGGGCUGAAGUAGGUCCCAAGGGUUGGGCUGUUCGCCCAUUAAAGCGGCACGCGAGCUGGGUUCAGAACGUCGUGAGACAGUUCGGUCCCUAUCCGUCGCGGGCGUAGGAAAUUUGAGAGGAGCUGUCCUUAGUACGAGAGGACCGGGAUGGACUGACCUCUGGUGUACCAGUUGUUCCGCCAGGAGCACAGCUGGGUAGCUAAGUCGGGAAUGGAUAAACGCUGAAAGCAUCUAAGCGUGAAGCCAACCUCAAGAUGAGAUUUCCCAUAGCGUAAGCUAGUAAGAUCCCUUGAAGAACACAAGGUUGAUAGGUCGGGGGUGUAAGCAUGGUAACAUGUUCAGCUGACCGAUACUAAUAGAUCG